UGGACGGUAAAUUUGUGGCAACCCCGCUCGGAUACGAAGGCCUGUCUGGGGUGCUUGGCAGCACAGGAAAUAUGUGCAAGUGAAAUGUUCCAAUGGCGAUCAACUAGAAGGGACAUAGUGUCAACACGAACGGUGAUUACAUAUCCAUGCAACACAAGAUUUAAUUUAAGAGGGGUUUUACGGUGCAAAUUACUAGUCACGGGAGAGACUAGUAUUUGAACAGAUCCACCGUUGAUUUCAAGGGUAAUCUAGGCACUUUAUAUUAGAUUUUUUUUCUCUUAGCCCAAGGGCAGUUUAGUCCGAUAAAAAGUUUACUAAUCAACUGAAAGUCCCGACUGAAUCGGCCCCUACACCUGCAUUCACGUCACCCAAGCCCUAAUUGCCGCUCUCUCGCCGCUGCCUGCCGCUGCCGCGCCGUCCGCCUCGGGAUCCUUCCUGCCCGUCUGUUCCGGCCACCGCAGCCUGCCGCUGCCGCGCCGUCCGCCUCGGGAUCCUUCCUGCCCGUCUGUUCCGGCCACCGCAGCCCACUCGUCGCUCUCGCCGCCAUUUGUCGCUUCCGCGCCGUCCGCCUCCGAUCCUUCCUGCCCGUCCGUUUCGUCCGCCGCAGCCGACCCGUGGCUCUCGCCGCCGGCUGCCGUGCCUUCCACGUCCGGAACCUUCCUGCCCGUCUGUUCCGUCUGCCUCUAACAGGAGCUGUGGCCGCCACUUGCCGCUGCACUACCGCCGGCUAAUCAGCUGUCACCGUUAGCUCCGCCUGUUCAUCCGUCUCUACCACUGCUGGUCGGCCUGCAGAAAGUUACACAACAUGGAUGCUCACCACGUCAGCAUAGAGGAAAUUGAAGAAUAUUACACGGUGGUUAGUCAAACAUUCACAAGCGAGGAACAAGGUUUCGAGUUCUAUAAUAGAUAUGCUAAAGCCAAAGGGUUCAGCGUGAGGAAGGCCAAUGUGAAAAACAAGGGAGGCAUAAGAAUCCAAAGGUUGUACAUGUGCAGCAAAGAAGGAUAUAGGUCCUUGAAAAACUUUGAAAGGUCCAACCGGAAAAGGAAACCAAGGGCACUCUCUCGUUGUGGAUGUGACGCUCGACUGCAAAUCGAGCUCAAUAUG